GGGGCCAUAGCUCAGUUGGGAGAGCGCCUCGUUCGCAAUGAGGAGGUCGGGGGUUCGAUUCCCCCUGGUUCCACCA
rnacentral:tRNA from 1 species